GUGAAGCCAGAGGAGUUUUGGGGGGCAGCAGGAGGGGUUUUGGGGUGCACCAGGAGGGGUUUUGGGGGGCAGCAGGAGGAGUUUUGGGGUGCAGCUGGGUGCCUCCCCCCCUUUGGCAGCCCAGGCUGGGGCAGGCAGAGCUGGCUCUGGGCUGGCCCAAACUGCAGCAGAAGGAGCAGCAGCAGCUCCUGAUCCCCAAAUCCAUCCCUGGGGUGUCCCUAAAUCUGUCCUGGAGUGUCCCCAAAUCCAGAAUUCUAUCCUGGGGUGUCCCCAACUCCAGAUUUCUGUCCUGGGGUGUCCCCAGCUCCACCAUGGGGUGUCCCCAGCUCCAUUCUGCACCCUGGAGCGUCCCCAAUCCAUCUUGGGGUGUCCCAGCCCCACCCUGGGGUGUCCCAGCCCCUUCUCAGGCCAACCCCCCUCAUCCUGGAGUGUCCCAGCCCCAUCCUGGGGUGUCCCAAAUCCAUCCUGGAGUGUCCCAAAUCCAUCUUAGAGUGUCCCAGAUCCAUCCUGGGGUGUCCCAAAUCCAUCCUGGGGUGUCCCAAAUCCAUCCUGGAGUGUCCCAAAUCCAUCUUAGAGUGUCCCAAAUCCAUCCUGGAGUGUCCCAAAUCCAUCUUAGAGUGUCCCAGAUCCAUCCUGGGGUGUCCCAGAUCCAUCCUGGAUGUCCCAAAUCCAUCCUGGGAUGUCCCCAAAUCCAUCCUGGAGUGUCCCAAAUCCAUCCUGGGGUGUCCCAAAUCCAUCCUGGGGUGUCCCAGCCCCAUCCUGGGGUGUCCCUUCACAACCAGGGUGGUGGCACCAACGAGGGGAAUCCAAAUUUCACUGCAGGGGUGACAUUAAAAAUAAAGAAACAGCCUCAAACUAACAGGAAAAAAAACACCAAAAAACCCCAAGAUAGCAGAGCUUGAUGAGAGGAUGGAUCUCAGUUUGCAUAAUCCCAUAAAGGCAGAAAAACGACAGGAAUCACCUAAAAUAACCCAAACCCAAGCAGCAGCCAUCUGCCCCCAUUGCUCUAGGAUGGGAUGUAUCAUAAUAAAAAAUAAUUACAAAGAAACAAAAAAAAAUUACAUACAUAUGUACAGGCUACGUUGUAAACAGCACAAAAAAAAAAAAAAAAACACAAAAAAGGAAAAAAAUAGCUGAAAAGUGUGGUUGAACUUUUUAAGAGAAUAUUAUAAAUACUGUAAUAUAUCAUUUUAUUUUAUUGGCAUGCCUUUUUGUAAAUACAAAGAACUACAAAAAUUAUAGAAUGGCUUCUGGCUUAUGCCAUUGUCCAUGGUUAUUUUUAUUUUUUUAAGAUUUUUCUGUUGUCCUUAGAUUUUAGAUAGCCAGGAAAUAUCCCCCAAAGAAGAAAAAAAAUAU